rnacentral:misc_RNA from 1 species
CAUAUAAUCCCUAUCUUAGCUCAUCCCACAGCAACUGACAAACUUACACUUUCCAUCUCUUUCUCCCUCUCUCCCUGGGUUGGACUGUAGCGUGGAGAAUGGGAAGAGCACCUUGUUGUGAAAAGGUGGGGUUAAAGAAGGGGAGGUGGACGGCGGAGGAGGAUGAGAAAUUGGUCAACUAUAUUCAAGCUAAUGGGAAAGGCUCAUGGAGGUCUGUGCCCAAGAAUGCAGGAUUAUUCAGGUGCGGGAAGAGUUGCAGACUGAGAUGGAUUAAUUAUUUGAGAGCGGACCUGAAGAGAGGGAGUAUAUCAGCCGACGAGGAAGAAAUUAUUCUCCAAUUGCAUGCCUCUUUGGGGAAUAGGUUAGGUUUGCAGCACUUUUCAUUUCCUUCAUUCACUUUCAUUUGCUGUUUAUCUUUCGCUUUAAUUUCUGUCACUAUCAACUAUUAUAUUUCCCACAGUUAUUCGUCCAAUGAGUUGGUUGGGAAGAGCUCAUUCAUUACUAUCGCUAGUUAGCCGGAAUUUACAGGCUACAAAAAUAUGUUUUUAAAUAUCAAUAUGUUUUUAAAAUUGUUAAUUUGAUUGUAUUAAAAAUAUUUUUAAAAUUAAAUAAUGCAGAUGGUCCUUGAUAGCUAGUCACUUACCCGGACGAACAGACAACGAGAUUAAAAAUUACUGGAGUUCCCAUCUGAGCAGGAAAGUUCACAUCUUUAGCAGGCUUGGGAAUGAAAAUCGACCACUGGUUAUUGAUAAAGCUAAGUUGAUGAUGGGAAGCAACAAGCAACGCAAAGCAGACAGAUUUGCAAUGAAGAACAACAAAAGCCAUGUACGUAAAGAACCUUGGGCAUCAACCAAGGGUGGGCUCGAGCAAAUUUGCAUUGGCCCUGAUCCCUCUAAAGACGGUGACGGAAUUAGACCCACGCCACAGACCCCUGUUUUAGUGAAAGAGACCUUAUCUGUUGCCAGCGAGGAUACGGCGAUUUUGGAUCCACGUGUGGAAGAUGAAGAUAAGGUGCAAAUGGACCCUGUGAUUCCAAGUCCAUGUCAAGAAAGAGCAGAAGGAGAAGGAGAAGGAUUGGUGUUGCACUUAAGCGAGGAAGAACAAUCAGAAAUGCUAGGACCAUAUCAUGGGUUCGCUGGCAAAAUGCUACUUUUUGACGACAAUAUACAAGACGAGUUGCUGGAUGCUGAACAAGAAGAUGAUGUCUCAUUAACUAGCUUGGAGGGAGAGAAGAAAAGUACUGUAAGAAGCGAAGAUCAGCGUGAAAAAGAAAAUGGUAAAUUGAGCUCAAAUGAUGACUUGUACGUAUGUUCUUCAACAGCGUAUUCCUUCGAUGAAUGGAGCUGGGAGAAUCUGAUGCAAUGGGAUGAAAAUGUGGAUAAUACGAUAUUUUCUAUUUGGGAGAGUGAUAAUAGUGAAUUAGGAGAUGAUCAAAAACAAGAAGAGAUAGAUCAUGACAAGCAAAAUGCAUCCGUUGCUUGGCUACUUUCUUGAUUAUACACACCAGUACAUUUAAGAAUUUCUGUACAAGUUUCAAAGUGGUGAUCAUCAUUGUAAAGUAGAAAGUUAGAAACUGGAGUUUACCUCUCCAAUGGACUAUUUUUCAAAAAAAUGUAGCAUACAGGCGUGUUUGGACGCUGUUAAGUGGUCAAGUGUGAAUGUACUUUCUUUUUCCUUUUUUCCUUUAAUAAAUCCCUGUGAAUGAUUGCUAAUAAAUGAAAUUCCCAAUCUGGUUUUCUGAGAGUUCACAAUCUCUUUCAACUUAGCUUAAGAAAGAUUACUUGAUCUAGUUUAGGCAUAUAAAAGGAAGCAUCAAAGAGCAUGUGGGACAGUGACAUGAUACCUUAC